rnacentral:snRNA from 1 species
GGAUGUGAGGGUGAUCUUGCUGCAACAUCUGUCACCCCACUGAUCGCCAGGGUUGAUUGGGCUGAUCUAGCUGGCGAGGCGGGUGUCCCCUUCCUCCCUCACCACUGCAUGUGUGUCCCUGCCCAAGCUGCGUGCUCAGUCAAAGAGGACGACCUUCCCCGAUAGAGGAGGACCGUUCUUCUGUCAAGGGUAUAUGUGUAGCUGUGCUCCCCUGCUAGACCUUCCAAGGAGGCUCUCAGAGUGGUGAGAUUGAGCCCCAUGUGGGGCUCUGGACCCCGUGU